rnacentral:lncRNA from 1 species
CGCGCGGCGGCCGCGGGGAACGGUGCAACCUGUUGGCGACUGUCGGCAACUGCAAGGGCGCCCGUGGCCCUCGCCCUCUUUUCUCCCAGCGCGCGGUACCCGCCAGCCCGGCCCCGACGGCGCCUGCAAGCCCGCGGCUCAGGGCAUCGCCUCGCUGGGGCGCGCGCGGCUUCGCCUUUCCCCACCCAAGGAACGAGAAAAAGUGCGGCAGCGGGUGCCGACCUGGCCUGGGAGGGAAACCGAGUUUCUUUAGUUUCUCUUCUCCCAGGCUCCCUCCCGCCCCCGCCCAGCUCCGAGGCUUGGAACCGCUCGGGAGCCCGCCCCGUGG